UUUUUUUUUUUUUUUUUUUUUUUUUUUUUGUGGUUUCAGCAAUUCAGUAAGGGUUAUUAGUAAUUGUUGAUCUAAACAGUAGUUAAAAGGAAAGAACUGUGGGUUUGCACAUGGAUGUUAGCAUGGCCUUUUUUGUGCCAUUUAUCAAUCAAUAGGAUUUUUUCAGUGCUGCUGAUUUCAUUUGUCUCUGUUGCUCGGUGACAUAGUAAGAAAUACACAGCAGCUUACCCAAAAGUUAUUUAGACCUGUUGUCUGACACAGCCUCUUAAAGCUAAAGGAGCUAAAGGAACUGCUGAAAGGACUAAGUUUAGUGGUGGAUCUUGAGACAAAAGGGAUUCCUCUGUUAUUUUAGCAAGUGAUAUUAUCUACUUUGGUAUUUCUUCCCUGGGAACUCUCUCCAGGGAAUGACCUGUUGUUUUCAAAGUUAUUUAGCACAUUCAGAAAAAGAAGAAAAAAAGGAAAUAAAAGAAAUGUGAAAGUUUUCCAAGUUGUCCUGACAGAAGGGUUUGGAACUGAAUGAUCUUCAAGGUCUCUUUCAAAACAAACCAUUUUAUGAUUGAAGUGGAGUACUUGGGAAUGGAGCAUAGUGAAAACAAACCCUCUUAUGGAGCAAGAUCUCUAUGAGUACUGUCCAUUACAUCUGCCUUUAUAUUUUACUUGAUCAGUGUCAAGUCUCUUUGACUGCCCAAACUUUCCUUUUUCCUCUCUGCUAUCUGGCCAAACUUAGUCUAUAUAAACUUGUUUUACCCUUCUGCUCUACUUUUUUUUCAUUGUCGUUCUCAAACUUGAGAGCCCUCUGGCUGUCUAGGGUUCAGGCAAAAAAUAUAUAUUAAAAAAAAAAAAAAAAGAGUUAUUGGUGCAUGCUCAGUUUCUGGGGCCACGAAGAACUUUCUGUUCUUCAGUUUCAAGCUGAUAUUCCUAGAUUUGCCAAGUCUUUUAGGAAAACUGUUGUGCCUGAUGAAGAGCCCACCUGUGGCACACAGUGGGAGUGUGACAGGCUCUUAUACUGCUCUCCUCUGCAGUUUCAGGCAGGUGGGACUGGCAGGAGUAGGGCAGAGCAGUGGUAAGGACAGACAUGGCAGUUAGUGGUUCUGCCAGCCUCCUCCAUAGAGAAUUUAACAUGGCAGGGCAGGUCUUUGCCUCAUGAAGGAGGGCCAGAUGGAGGAAAAAAAGGAGAUGAUGCCCCAUGGAAACAGAUCGUGAGUGAUGGAGCCUUUGUACCCCCAACCCCUGUGCUUGCUCUUAACUAUCGGUUUCAUUUUGGUCUCUUUUGACUAAACAUGAUAAAGAAAAGCUGUGAUUUAUGUGAGAACAGUAGGGAGGGCAUUGUUACUUCCUUUCUCCAUUUCCCUCCACUCCAGACCCAACCCAGCUGCCUUAGGUAGGACUUGUGCAGCUCUUUUCUUCACAAGUUUCACUCCAGCAGUUAAUGUUUUGACCAGGCCUUUGGUGGUCCCUCCUGAAUCCUGCUGGCAGCGCACAGGAGCCUGUCUACUCCUGGCAGAGCACCUGGUUCACCUUUGUGAACUGGACUGCUUGAAGGAAAAGCCAUGCUGUACUUAUUCUUUUAUGUAACCAAGAAAACCAGGAUAGUUCUUGAAUUAACACAAAAUGAUGGAUCCCAGCAAAUAUGGGUAACAUUCUCAAGCAGGAUGGGUUUCCCUAACAUUUGUGUGGUCUGAGGGGAAGCUUCUCUUGCACAGUGAGAUCCAUACAUCUGAGGCACUUUCUGUUUCUAUGCUGAAAUGUGAGCUGCUAAUUAUGCCUCAAGUUCACCCUGAACGAUUGCAACUCUGCACACAUUGCACAAGUUUGACACACCCGUGCUAUUAGCAGCAGGUGUUAGUGUUUCCUAAUGGAAUUCUUUUGUGGUUACAGAGUAGGCUUUGUACAUCUGGAAAGAAAACCCACACAGCUUUGCAUUGAUUAAUAGCAUUACCAUCUUGCUUAGUCAGAACAUGGUGUUUAUUGAUAUGCUCUGGUAUCAGCACAGCCAUUUCCACAGAUGAGUUUCAGCACUUAGUCCCAUGUUGUUGGCUUAUGAACAUAGAAUCCAGGCUCUGCCCUUGGAGGGAAAUGUACUAUCACAUCACCUACACUUAAUAUUAACUACUGUAAGGCUUAUUUAGCACUCAUUUCAUAAAGCUGCCAGAAAGUGUUUCUCUCAUUUAAAACAUACUUGAGGCUAUUUUAAGAGUCCAGUACCUCAAGGCAGGUCUUUUCAUCUUAAGCUAAAGCAAGCCAAUAACUAUUUCAUUAUUCAGAAGACUCUGAUCCUGGUUGACAGGUGAACAAAGCCAGAUGCUAGAAUUCUUAGGAAAUGCAGCAUAGACAUAGACUGUAAAAACAGGGAGGUUGCUUAAUAGCUGGACUUGAGAGGGGAAUUCAAAUGUUGCAAAAUGUUCCAGUGCAUCCUAUCUAUUUUAACAUGGUAAUGCACACAGUUAAAGCACAAUUCUGAGACAGUUUAAAAAAAGAUAGAAGGGAUUAUAAGCUAUAACCAUAUAACCAUAAAUAAUAAUAUAUAAAUAUAAAAAAACAUACUAUACAAAGAAUAAAUAUGAUUGAAGUUAUGUGGUGAUGUUUCUCUUGUUUUGUUAUGAGGCUGCUGUUAAUACGGACAUUUUCAAAGCUGGAAGGCUGACUGGAGAUGAUCAGAUCAGUAUUUCCUAUAGGUCAGGAUUUUAGGAUAGGAUUUUGUCCAUCAAAUCAUGAUCAGUUUGCAAGCUGUCUGUCUCCAUACAACAUCCUUGGUGCUUGGGUUACAGAGCAUCAAAGAAAUGCAAGCUCAAAAUUGGCAACACAGAAUGUACUAUUAUGUGAUCAAAAAGCCUAUCUACUACCUAACCAAAAGUGGAAAUUUCUACUAUUCCUAGCAAAAACAAACAUCACAAUAUCUUGCAUAUUAAGAUGCAAAAAGAAGCAGUCAUGUGAACAUAAAUCUGGUUUGUUUCUAUAAAGAAAUACAUUUUGAUAAGAGGGAACCCAUCUCCCACACUGCACAGACCAGACUAACAUUACUGGAAUACCUUCAGUAGUGUAAGGUCUGAUACUCCUUUGGGAAGUCUCAGACAAUCUUAUUUAGUUGCUAUUCCUAUGUUGUAGCAUCAAACAUUUGAUUUGGAUAGUAUUAUUGUAUGUGAAUUACCAAAUUUCUUCUUUCAUGUCUUCCGGAUGAAAUACAUGUAGGAGCUUUCAGAAGAGAACUUUUGUCUACUCAAAUUGAAAUUCAAAUCGACCAUCUUUGGAAUAGGCUCCAUUGUCCAGCCUGCUGCACUGUGUGCCUCCUUCACUGCAUGUGUGGCACCCUGUAAAUCCCUGGCACUGAGAUGUGAUCAUGGAAGAUUACCAGGAUUUUUGAAGCAAAAUUGCAAAAAUUUAUUUUGAAUUAUAUUGUGGGAAAUGGGAGUAGAGGGGUAGAGUUUCUGGAGGGGGAAAUCCCCAUCACCCUCUACAGAAUACCUUGAUCUUGUUUUCUGGUCUUGCCUGUCUGGGCCAUACUUAAGCCUGUAGCUAGGUGGGAUUUUGGACAGUCGAUGGCUUUCCUGGCCUCUGUCAACAGCUGCCAGUUCACAUCCACAAGCAAAGGAACCUUCUGCGAGUACUAGCCCAGAUCUUACUUUUAUGUCUACUGUCACCCUGAAAUAAAUGGAUGCAUAAUGGUGAGCCUAAGAAACAUAAGCCUAGGUAGAGUUAAGCCCAAAUCUGGUUCAGCUCAGGUAGUGUGUGCCUGUAACCCAGCCAGCCACCUGAAAUUCUGCUUAUUUUUAUUGUGGGUUCUGCCAUUUGAGUAUUGUAAUCAGGAAUGGAGCAUGCCUGUUUGAUGAAAUUUGGGUGUCAAAGGCAUUUCCCCUAUGUUUCAGUGUAAAAGAAUACAUUCUGAGAGAACCUUUACUUUGACCUGUGCAUGUAUGUGUCAGUUCUAUUGCGCAAGACCUUGCUGACUGGCCAGAUCAUGUAUCUAGACUAAAAGCACUUGGAGAGCAUUCCCAUGGCAGCAGGUGCAGUGGCCAUUUUAACAGGAUAAAAUUCUAACACAGAUUUUGUCCAUCUGUUGUCUAAAUCUUCAAUGAAUUCCACAUUUCCUGCUCCUACUGAAGCCAGUAGAGCUUGAGAAAGGAUUAUCCUGAAAAAAGUGCCCCAGAAUCUGAGUAACCUUCUUUGUGAACACAGUCUAUUUUACAGUAGAAAAUUACAAAGAAAAAGUAAGGAUUUAAGCACAGCAUUGCCUAGGUGGUUCUAAAAACUUUUAAAGUUGUUUAAUUUUUAGUUUUUAAUUUUUUUUUUCAAUUUUAAGUUUAAAGUGAAGUUUAAUUUUUAAGUGUUAUCAGAUCUCCUGAAACCUUGAGAUAUGCUGCACUGAACAGAGAGCAAAGUUGCAUGCAAAACUGCUUUUCUGCUGGGAGAAAUCUGUUACUGGAAGUUUGUAAUAAAAAGUUUUUUGAAAUCUCUGCCACCCAGGGCAACUUCACUUUAAAUAAAAAAGACUAAGUGACUUUCUAAAAACAUUUCCUCUGGGAAGCUUGAAUAGGAGGAAUUUACACCUGAACUUGAGAGAUCCCUUUGAAUAAAUACUGACAUUUUACUAGGUUUUCCCUCAGGAAAUCACUGCUUUAAAGGUCUCACACCUUCAGCAGCUAAAAUCUUCUUGAUAAUAUUUCCUAUGACAAAUAGUUCACAUGGUUUUUCCUUGCUCAAGCCAGUUCACAGAUUUAUAUUGUGCUCACACCUGUUGUGGAAACAUGAGGUUUGCAGAGGAAAUUCUCAGGUGAAGCCCUGCAUCCACUGAAAAUGUGAAUUGCUCUGUGCAAUUAAGACACCCAAGUUUGAAUUUUUGAAGAAAAGCAGCAUUUAAGCUAUCACCUCUGGUCCUGUGCAGAGCUGCAAAGGCUCAAGCACAUGCAGUUCCAGGUAGGCACACUUCACGUCUUUUUAUUUUUAAGAGACUAAAGUAUAGAAAUAGAUAAAGUACAAUUUUACUUACUCUCAGAUGUCUGACUAACCGUGACUGCUAGAACAACCAAAACAGUGACAAAUUUCACAUCCAUUCCUCCUUGGAGCUGCGGGAGCACAGCCACAGAGCAGGUGGUGAGCUGCAGGACUAACACCUGACCCUACCUGCUGGCUGCUGGGGAUGAAUGUGCCUUGAAGCCCCACCCUGAGCAGCAGCUUGGCGUCAGUUCUGUCCUGUGUGGCUCUAUGGACUUCAGCAGGAUUCCUCCUCUUACCUGAAGAUGAGUGGUUCAGUUUUUUUGCCAGAUGGGAAGACAGGCUGUGUUUCACACAGUUCCCCAAGAAGGUACUGCCUUACAGCCUUGCAGUCCUUCUCACCCAUGAGGCUUUUCAGCAACAGACUUGCCAAGGGUAGGAGUACUUCAGAAACAAGUACUUGCAGGAUUGAGAAUUAAGAAAAAAAACUUUCUGCUUUUAGGUGUCACCUGCAUGGAAGCUACACGUGCAAUGCUGUGGGCCAAACCUGCUGUAGUACAAGAAAUACAAUGUCAAGAAGACCUCAGCCUUGAUCCAGCUUUGCAUUUGACCUAGGCAAUUUCAGUCUGUAAGGACUAUGUUAUUCCUGUCACACUUGGCUUUCAGCACUGUUUUGAAGCUUCCAAACCUCUAAAAAUAUUACUGUGUGGUUUCAGCCUGAACUGAGCACAGUGGUUGUAAGAGUAGAGAGCAACUGCUAUACUCCACCACAGGCAGUGCAGUGAAGGCUGCCUGCUUUGACCUUUCCCAGGGCUCAACUAGAAAAUCAGUCUGGGAAUUUCUUACCUAUUCAACCAAGCUCAUCCUUGCUUUGUCUCAUUACAUCAUUCUUACUAUUUCUAAAUUUCCAGACCACAAGGUAGAAGAAAUUUCUAACUUCAGGGACUUUAGUCUAUACUUACACUGUCCCAACACUGGUUUUGCAAUUUCUUCUAAUAAUAAAUUAAUAAAGUGCGAUCA
rnacentral:lncRNA from 1 species